rnacentral:rRNA from 1 species
GGAUUGAACGCUGGCGGCAGGCCUAACACAUGCAAGUCGAGCGGUAGAGAGGUGCUUGCAUCUCUUGAGAGCGGCGGACGGGUGAGUAAUGCCUAGGAAUCUGCCUAGUGGGUGGGGGGAUAACGUUCGGAAACGGACGCUAAUACCGCAUACGUCCUACGGGAGAAAGGCGGGGGACCUUCGGGCCUCGCGCCAUUAGAUGAGCCUAGGUCGGAUUAGCUAGUUGGUGAGGUAAUGGCUCACCAAGGCGACGAUCCGUAACUGGUCUGAGAGGGAUGAUCAGUCACACUAGGAACUGAGACACGGUCCAGACCUCCGUACGGGAGCAGCAGGUGGGAAUAGUUGGAACUAAGUAGGGGACGAAA